rnacentral:tRNA from 2 species
GGUGAGGUGUCCGAGCGGCUGAAGGAGCACGCCUGGAAAGUGUGUAUACGGCAACGUAUCGAGGGUUCGAAUCCCUCCCUCACCGCCA